CCUACGGGUGGCAGCAGUGGGGAAUAUUGGGCAAUGGAGGCAACUCUGACCCAGCAACGCCGCGUGAAUGAUGAAGGUCUUCGGAUUGUAAAGUUCUGUGAUGGGGGAUGAACACAAUGACGGUACCCCAAUAGCAAGCCACGGCUAACUACGUGCCAGCAGCCGCGGUAAUACGUAGGUGGCAAGCGUUAUCCGGAAGGACUGGGCGUAAAGGGUGCGUAGGUGGUUUAGUAAGUUGGCGGUGUAAUUCCGGGGCUCAACCUCGGCGCUACCGCCAAAACUAUUAGACGAGAGUGCAGGAGGGGUAAGUGGAAAUCCGAGUGUAGCGGUGGAAAGCGUAGAUAUUAGGAGGAACAUCAGGGGCGGAGGCGACUUACUGGACUGUAACUGACAGUGAGGCAAGAAAGCGUGGGGAGCAAAAAGGAAUAGGUAACCGAGGAGGC
rnacentral:rRNA from 1 species